GAUGAACGCUGGCGGCGUGCUUAACACAUGCAAGUCGAACGGAAAGGCCCAAGCUUGCUUGGGUACUCGAGUGGCGAACGGGUGAGUAACACGUGGGUGAUCUGCCCUGCACUUCGGGAUAAGCCUGGGAAACUGGGUCUAAUACCGGAUAGGACCACUUCUUGGAUGUUGUGGUGGAAAGUUUUUUCGGUGUGGGAUGAGCUCGCGGCCUAUCAGCUUGUUGGUGGGGUAAUGGCCUACCAAGGCGUCGACGGGUAGCCGGCCUGAGAGGGUGUACGGCCACAUUGGGACUGAGAUACGGCCCAGACUCCUACGGGAGGCAGCAGUGGGGAAUAUUGCACAAUGGGCGCAAGCCUGAUGCAGCGACGCCGCGUGGGGGAUGACGGCCUUCGGGUUGUAAACGCCUUUCGCUAGGGACGAAGCGUUUUGUGACGGUACCUGGAGAAGAAGCACCGGCUAACUACGUG
rnacentral:rRNA from 1 species